rnacentral:rRNA from 1 species
GAUGAACGCUGGCGGCGUGCCUAAUACAUGCGAGUCGAGCGAACAGAUAAGGAGCUUGCUCCUUUGACGUUAGCGGCGGACGGGUGAGUAACGCGUGGGUAACCUACCUAUAAGACUGGGAUAACUUCGGGAAACCGGAGCUAAUACCGGAUAACAUUUGGAACCGCAUGGUUCUAAAGUGAAAGAUGGUUUUGCUAUCACUUAUAGAUGGACCCGCGCCGUAUUAGCUAGUUGGUAAGGUAACGGCUUACCAAGGCAACGAUACGUAGCCGACCUGAGAGGGUGAUCGGCCACACUGGAACUGAGACACGGUCCAGACUCCUACGGGAGGCAGCAGUAGGGAAUCUUCCGCAAUGGGCGAAAGCCUGACGGAGCAACGCCGCGUGAGUGAUGAAGGGUUUCGGCUCGUAAAACUCUGUUAUUAGGGAAGAACAAAUGUGUAAGUAACUGUGCACGUCUUGACGGUACCUAAUCAGAAAGCCACGGCUAACUACGUG